rnacentral:rRNA from 1 species
GACGAACGCUGGCGGCGUGCUUAACACAUGCCAGUCGAACGGAAAGGCCCUGCUUUUGUGGGUUGCUCGAGUGGCGAACGGGUGAGUAACACGUGUGUAACCUGCCCUUGACUUUGGGAUAACUUCAGGAAGCUGGGGCUAAUACCGGAUAGGAGCUCCUGCUGCAUGGUGGGGGUUGGAAAGUUUCGGCGGUUGGGGAUGGACUCGCGGCUUAUCAGCUUGUUGGUGGGGUAGUGGCUUACCAAGGCUUUGACGGGUAGCCGGCCUGAGAGGGUGACCGGCCACAUUGGGACUGAGGUACGGCCCAGACUCCUACGGGAGGCAGCAGUGGGGAAUAUUGCACAAUGGGCUGAAGCCUGAUGCAGCAACGCCGCGUGCGGGAUGACGGCCUUCGGGUUGUAAACCGCUUUCGCCUGUGACGAAGCGUGAGUGACGGUAAUGGGUAAAGAAGCACCGGCUAACUACGUG